GCGCAACGUAGGGUAGAGUUCUCGAUCCUUACCUUACGCCGCUUGCUUUUGUCUUCUUCUUCCUCCUUCCUUCUUCCUUCAUUUCUCUGUUUCACUGAAAUUACUCCAUUUUUCCCUUUCAACACGACCUUCCAUUUUCUCCCUUUUUCAUCACCAUAAUUCUUUUCUUCUUUUCCAUUUUCCAUCAACCAACCCCUUCCAUUCCCCACCUACCACAUCUUCCACCAUUUCUAACUUCCCUUAUUCCUCUCUCUCCGCCACUAUAUAGCUACCCUCGUCGGAAUAUUCUCUUCUCCCCGGACUUUUUUCUUUCUCUCUCCCUCCAUGUCUUCUUCUCUUUCUUGGUUCAUCUUCUUUUCUCUCUCCUUCACUUUUUCCCCUACGGCUGCCUCCCUUCCCGACGAUGCAAUGUCGCUACUCAUGUUUAAAAGCUCCAUUUCUUUCGGUGCUUCUGAUGUUCUUCGUGGUUGGAAUUUGUCGGUUUCUCACUGCGAUUGGUUUGGUGUUACUUGCGAUAAUGGUGGUACGCGUAGAGUAGUUGCGCUGAAUAUUAGUGGAAGUACUGGUGGUGUUAUGGCGGAGGGUUCUUUUCUUGCUGGGACGUUGAAUCCGUCGAUUGGAAAUCUUGUUGAGCUUCGUGUUUUGUCGCUUCCGAAUAAUUUGAUGUACGGGGAGAUUCCCGGGACUGUUGGUAAGCUUCAGUCGUUAGAGAUUCUUGAGCUUCAGGGGAACAAUUUCUCUGGAGAGAUUCCGAGUCAGAUAAGUUCACUUCCAUCUCUUCGCUUGCUUAAUUUGUCUGAUAACUCGGUUUCGGGUUCGAUUCCGAGUAAAUUGAUCGGUUCGGCAAAAUUAGAAGUAAUUGAUUUGUCGUACAAUCAAUUAUCUGGUAAUAUUCAAGUUGUUGGUAAUAGAUGUGGCGUUUUGAAUCAUUUGAGGCUUUCGCAUAAUUUUCUGACUGGUAACAUUCCAGCGGAGAUUGGACAAUGUUGGAAACUCAGGACUCUGUUACUCGAUGGGAAUAUAUUAGAGGGGAAAAUUCCGGCUGAGAUCGGCCAAAUGUCAGAACUCAGAAUUCUUGAUGUUUCUAGGAAUAGCCUUACUGAUUCGAUUCCAAAAGAGCUUGGUAAUUGCCGGAAGUUGUCACAGAUCGUGUUAACGAAUUUGAACGAUAUCAAUCCCGAUAACGACAGUGUAAGAGGAGAAUUCAACGCCUUCAAUGGAGGCAUUCCUUCUGGGUUGUUAUUGCUUCCAAGUCUACAAGUUUUAUGGGCACCGAGAGGGAAUUUUAAUGGCAGAUUGCCGAUUAAUUGGAAUUCUUUAUGCUCGCUUAGAGUUCUCAAUUUAGGGCAAAAUUAUAUCACUGGUACCAUACCCGAAUCGAUUCGGAAAUGUGCGAAUCUAACUUACUUGGAUUUAUCUUCGAACAAGUUUCAAGGUAACCUCCCUUCCCAGCUUCGAGUUUCAUGUAUGGCUUAUUUCAAUGUUAGCCAGAACAAAAUUUCUGGUGUUCUUCCCAGAUUUGAGAAAGACAGCUUUUGUACGAACUUGAUUCCCAUGUUCUCUGAUCAGGAAGACGAUUGGAAUUCUUACUUGAACUUUCCUGUUUGGGAUUUCACGAGACUAAAAGAUAAUCUCCUAAUUUCUCAUGAUUUUAGCUGGAAUAGGUUUAGUGGCUCAUUAGUUUCAGUCAAAGUGGGAGAAGAGCUUUUAGCUAAUGGCAUUAAGUUCUCAUACAAACUGCUGCUUAAUAGCAACAAUUUCAAUGGAUCACUUCCCAUUGAUCUGAUCUCGCACUGUAACAAUAUGAAAGGUGUUUCGGUUAACUUGAGUUCAAACUUAGUAUCAGGUGAGAUAUCUGAUGCAUUUUUUCUCCAUUGUCGACAAUUAAUUGAGUUUGAGGCAGCAAGCAAUGAAUUAGAUAACUCGAUUGGAACUCGAAUUGGUGAAUUGCAGAUGCUUCUUCGUCUUGACUUAAGAGGGAAUAGAUUGUAUGGAGUUUUACCUGAUCAGUUGGGGAAUUUGCAAAAUUUGAAAUGGAUGCUUUUGGGGGGAAACAAUUUGACUGGAGAGAUUCCAUCUCGACUUAGUCGAUUAACUUCUCUCUUGAGUUUAGAUCUUUCUCGAAACUUGUUUACUGGCAUUAUCCCGGACAGCUUGUCAUAUGCUUCGAGACUUGAGAUUCUGUUGCUUGAUCAUAACAGGUUAACUGGGGAAAUACCAGCAUCUUUCUCUGUCCUCUCACAUCUCACUAAAUUAGAUGUGUCUUUUAACAACCUUUCUGGCCACAUUCCUCGUCUUCACCACACGUUUGACUGCAUUUACUUUGGUGGGAAUAAGUUUCUUCAUCCAUGCCCAGAUUCAUACUCUGAUUCCCCUGCUGGACUUCCGGUUCCUCUCGAUGUUGAGAAGUGGAAGAGACGAAGAAAGUUUUUGUCCAUGGUAAUUGCUGUAGCUGCUUCCUCAACACUAAUUUGCUUACUGUUAAUGAUAGCUGUUAUCAUCAUCGUUAAGAGAAGGCUUGGUAAACAAAAUAGGUUAAAGAAGAAACAAGUGGUGACUUUCUCAGAUGCUCCUUCCGAUCUGAAUUAUGAUAAUGUAGUCCGAGCUACUGAAAAUUUCAGCCUUCGUUACCUAAUCGGUACAGGUGGCUUCGGAUCGACAUACAAGGCUGAACUGCCCUCAGGUUUCCUAGUUGCUGUAAAGAGAUUGUCUAUUGGUAGGUUUCAAGGAGGAAUUCAACAAUUCGAUGCAGAGAUUCGAACAUUGGGAAGAAUACGACAUAAAAACCUCGUAACUCUUCUCGGGUACUAUGUUGGAGAGGCUGAAAUGUUCUUAGUUUACAACUAUCUUUCUGGUGGGAACCUUGAGACUUUCAUCCAUGAAAAAUCUUGCAAACACGUAAAGCACUCAGUUAUCCACAAGAUCGCUUUGGAUAUAGCGAGAGCUCUUGCAUACCUUCAUUACUCCUGUGAUCCUAGGAUUGUUCAUAGAGACAUCAAACCUAGUAACAUCCUGCUUGAUGAAGACCACAACACCUAUAUAUCGGAUUUUGGGUUAGCAAGGCUUCUUGAGGUUUCAGAGACUCAUGCCACAACAGAUGUGGCAGGAACAUUUGGAUAUGUUGCACCAGAAUAUGCUACAACUUGCCGGGUCUCGGAUAAAGCCGAUGUUUAUAGCUUUGGAGUUGUUCUACUAGAGUUGCUUUCUGGAAAAAGAUCGCUUGAUCGAUCCUUUUCCGACUUUGGGAAUGGAUUUAACAUUGUUACAUGGGCAAAUAUGCUGAUUAAGGAAGGUCGUUCUUCUGAGCUUUUCACUCCUGAACUUCGAGAAAUGGGACCUAAGGAACACUUACUUGGAAUGUUAAAGCUUGCAUCUAAUUGCACAGUUGAAAUUCUCGCUCUUCGACCGUCAAUGAAGCAAGUCGUUGAGACACUGAAACAGUUGUAAAUUUUUUUGGAUCACUGACCUUUCAAAACUGGUUGCUGACUCAACAUGGCCUACAAUAUAGCCAAUCGUACAUAUUGAGAUGAAUUCUUUUUUCUCCCAGAUGGAGAGUCAGUACGAGCAAAGAAAACUAAUAUCAUGGAUUGACAUUCGAUUCCUAAUCCAACAAGAAUAUAUAGUAUGUGAUCAUCAGUGGAGAUAGGUGGAGAUAGGUUUAUUUAUGAAGACUAAAGCAUCAACACAUUGCUGGAUUUUAAGGAAAUGUUCUUUUAACAGAAUAGUUCCCUUUUUCAUAUUGUGAAGUUUAUUUUUAAAAUGUAUAGCUUGUGCUUAGUAUCAGGAAGAAUAAAUAUCUUAUAGAGUUUCUCGAAUUUGUUUUGCCGAGGUACAAUGGAGCAUCUAAUUUAGUAUAUCUUCACUCAUUGAGCCAAGGAGCCAUGAUGAAAUCAGUCUAUCUUGUCUCUUCCAAGUUUUAUAUUCAAGAUUCAAGGUCUUCACCAUAGUGGUCGAAUAACUUCCUAUUGCAGACGGUGUUUGAUUUGUAGGUGUAUUGAUGUAUUUUGUAGUUGGUUCGGCUUUCGAUUCCAAGAGUGAUUCGAGAUCAUAUGCUUCAAGUGUCGUAAUGAUCUGGAAUUUCCAUAGCGAGAAGUUUUCAUUUCCUAGUUUUACUAGAGAUAUUUUGGAUCUGGAACAAAAAAUUUGAGAGAUUGAGGAUAAAUCUCUGGAUGAGUCUUCACCGAGGAUGGAGGGAGAGCCAAUGUUGCUCAUUGUUUCUGGGCACUAUUUGAACGGCUUUAGGCUGAGCGCUAGACGUAAUGCUCUAAUACCAUCUUUGAGAUUUAAGAAGAAAGAGAAAAAUAAAAAUGAUUAAAUAAGGGGAAACCAUGGCUUUCAUUGACAUUAUUGA